ACACAAACCAGCCAUUGUUCACAGGAGUAGGAAUGCACCCCUAAAUAGGGUGCAAACUUCAUGGGUGAUGGUGCUGAGAAUUUGAAAUGAACACAAAUUAAUUAUUGCAAUUAGAAAGUGAGAAAUAGCAGAAUUCAUUAAUUCUAGUGAAAUUCGGAAUGAGAUCACCUCUUUUAAUAUAAAAUUUAUCAGCAAAUUUUGCCUACAGUUACCGAGAAUUGAAAACCUUGAGAAAUUGGAAUUCUACAAAAUGGCUGAAGUAUUGAAAUGGAAGCCCAAUUGGGGUGAGGUGACCGACAUAUAUAUAGGAAUGUCCAUCUGGACCUCUGAAUGCCAUCCUCUGAGAAGAUGCCCAUGACAGCAAGCACACUGGAGCGCAACACCAUCCUGGGUGAAGAUUUGUUGCAAUUGAAUGUGGAUGUGCUGAUCUCUGUGCUCCUGGAUAUGGAGCUGUUAAUCUCUCCUCAAGAGCUGGAUGCAGGCCCAGGCUGCCAUGUAGCACUGAGUGAUGCCAUGCCAAUUCUAGACAAGGUCUUUAUUGCUGGAAAUGUUGCAUAAUGACAGUUUUAUUCAUGUGAAAACGCAGAAUACAUUUCAACUGUAUGAAAUUGUUUAUGUUCAUCAGAAAUGUUAUUUGUCUUCACAAAGUCUGGUUUCAAUGAACCAGCUAUGUAAUGGAUAUUAAAUAAACAUGGAAUUUUACAUGUUCAUAA
rnacentral:lncRNA from 1 species